AUGUAGUCUUUUUUGGGUUUUAGUUAAUUAGAUAUUUGAUUAUGGUAUUAGAUAUAUAUAUUCAUUCAAGAUUUAUAUGAAUAUUGUUUUAAAUUUAAUAAAUUAGUAGUGUAUAUUUUUAAUUAUUAAAAAAAUUUAGAAUUAGUGAUAAGAUUUAGUAUUUGCAAUUUUUGUGCCAGCAGCAGCGGUUAUACAAAAAAUAUAAUAUAUAUUUAUUAGCUUUAAUUAAUAGAAUUAAAAAUUAAAAAAGAAAUUUUAAGUUUUAAGGUGAAAUUUUAAUUUAUUAAUAUUUUUAAUUAUGUUUUUAUGAGGUUAAGAAAUUAUUAUAAUAAACUAGGAUUAGAUACCCUAUUAUUAAUUAAGUAAAUUAUAAAGUUAAGUGAUUAAUAGUUAAGUUCUUUAAAGCUAAAUGAUUUGGCGGUAUUUUUACUUUUCAGAGGAACCUGUUCUAUAAACGAUAAUCCACGAUUAAAAUUACUUUAGUUAGAAACUUUUAUAUCGUCGUUGUUAAAUAUUUUUUUAGAAAUUAAUAUUUAGAUAUUUUUUAAAAAUUUAAAUCAGAUCAAGGUGAAGUUUAUAUUAAAGUAGAAAUGGGUUACAUUAAAUUAUAUUUAUGGAUUUAUAUAUUUUAAAAGUUUUAUGAAAUUGGAUUUGAUUGUAAUUAAAUAUUUUUAUUUUUAAUGAUUUAGUACUAAAAUAUGCACAUAUUGCCCGUCGCUUUCAUCUAAUAUGGAAUAAGUCGUAACAUAGUAGAUUUACUGGAAAGUGAUUCUAGAAUG
rnacentral:ncRNA from 1 species